UUUCGAAAACAAAUUUGUUGAUAACGAAGCUGCAUUAAAUAACAUAAAAGAGGAUGAAAGGGUAAAUGAACGUCCAGGAAAUUACAAAAAACAGCGUACCAAAAAUGAACGUUUUUUUCUAUACCCAUCAGGAAGAGGAUACACAAUUAGUGAAUUUACAACAGAUGAGAGACAUGUACGAAAAAAGAGAAAUAGCUUGUAUUGUUCGCGCAAUGUUAAAAGACCCCCUAAAAUAUGUUGAAACAGCCUACGAAUUGUUGGACUUAGCUGAUACACAUCAACAUCCUAUUACGAAAAAUUUAAAGUCACACGAAA